GGCAGCGGGGGCCGCUGUCCAUGGUGUUGAAACAGAGCCCCAAACCCCAGUCUCAUCUUGCCCGGCCUCGCCUCUGGACUUUUUUCACCCCACUCCCAUCUUCUCCCUAGAAGGGUUGGGGCAUACUUCUGCCCUCCUCCUUUGAUUUCCUGGAUGAGAAGUGGUCGGAUCUGACUUCCAGCUCCCUGCAGCUUGUCUGCAUUCUAUGGGGGAGGGCUCCUCAGGUUUAUGGAUCCCAAAUCUUCCUUCAGAUUCCCCUUUGUACCAGACUGGCUCCACCCAGAGCCAAGAGAGGAUCACCAGCCUUCUGAGGCCUGCUCUUUUCUCUGGCUGAGCACUUCCAUUCUGACUCCCCUCAGAUCUCUCCCCAGGCAGGUAAGGUGGGGGUGUGUGCCCCAUGCCUUGGAUCAGAUCAGCUUUCUGUGCAACCCCAAAACAGCCUACAGUAUUUGCUCUUGGGAUCCCGAGCACCCACCCACGGAGCCUAAGGCUCACCCCUUCUUCCAUUCCCAGGUACCCGUGGCCCCCAGCUCUGGCCCGCAGGAGGAAGGGUCGCCUUGGGCAAGGGGUGGGUGCUGGAUGAGAAAAGACUUCCUGCCCUGCCCGUCCUCCUGCGUCAGCCUGGUGGGGACCUUCUUGGUGGCCCUGAAGCCCCUGAAGGUUCUGUAGAAGUCAACUCACGGCUGCUAGACCCCCGCUGGGUCCUUUUGGCUCCUCAGGUGCCGGCCGGCCUCACCGCACCCCAGCCCAGCCAUACCCGAACCGUCUCUGCGCCGCUGCCCACGCUGCCGCUUCCGCCCAGCACACCGAGAAUUUGGGUUUGUGGAUUCGUUUAUUUGCCAGCUCCACGGAUCGGGGCAGGGGCUCCUGGCUCCCAGCGGAGGGCGCGAGGAGAUGCGUGGCCGAUUGCUCAGUGCUCCGGGUUCCGAGCUACUGCCUCCAUGCGCACAAAAGCAACUUGGAGGCCCCAGGUGUUCCAAGGGCACCUAGUUUCCACCAGGACUGGGUGAGGAGCAAGGAGAAAGCAGAUGACCAAAAUUGGGCCUAUGGGGAGUCCCAGAAUGUGGCCCAUCAGAGGUCUGGCAGCCUCAGGACAGGAGCCUCUGGGGCUGGAAGCCUGACAGCCAAGGCGCAGAAAAGUGGUCAGCCCCCUGGCUGCAGCAGGACAGCAAAUGGGGGAGCGACAGAGUACCCAGCUCAGGUAGGGCUCAGGUUGGGGCCCAGGGAGGGCUCAGGUAGAGCAUUCGUGGAGGCUGUGCCUGUUUUCUCUUUGAACUGGGCACAGGAAGGCUUAUCUGACCACACUGGCAGGGUCUGUGAGUUUCUCUUGCUGAGAGAACUGAAGCUAAGAUGCUGCAGUGACCCCUGGGGCCUGUGGCUGGUCAGGGAGCUCAGCACACAGGCCCAUAUGCCCAAGCAUCCUCUCCCGGGUGUGGUUGGUCCUGAGUGCCCAGAGACCUUUUCCUCCAUCUCGGUGGCAGGCAAGCUGGUAUGUGGCUUCCCCUCCACCUGUCUCCUCUGGAUGCCACCUGCAUCCUUGAGCUGCCCUUUAGUCAGUGUGGGUGGGUUCCUGCCCACCUCCAUGCCAGGCACCCACCUCCGCCCUGGCCCAGGUUGGAGGUUGGGCAGGAUGGGGAGAAGCAGAGUGUGCAGGCUGGUGGGGGGUCAACCCAGUGCUCAGAGCCCACGGGGCAGUGAGCAGGACUCAGCACCAUGCGCUUGAUGAGCUCAAGAGACAGCUUGCCCAGACUCGGAGUGGGAGGGCCCUGACUUCCCCAGUGGCCCCAAAGAGCAUGCAUGGAGGCAGAGGGUGGGCUCUUGACGGGUGGACCUGGACCACAGAGGGAGGGAUGCAAGGGAAGCAGGCACACAACCCACCCUCCUCUGAGGGCUGCUCAAGACUUUCCAGAGGAGUCCUGCCCUCUGGGCAUCCAGCUGGGAUGCCUGGCCACACACCCAGAGGUGAUGGUCCACAGUCACCCCCACCCCCAGGCCCCUCCCACAGAGCUCCUUUGUAGCGGUUGUGGCCCUUGCCCUUGGGGUAUAUAACCCUUGCCUCAGGCUCUGCUUUGUGGGGACCUUGACUGAGACAAGCUGGGGAUCUGGGAAAUGGCUGGGGUGACACUGGAGAGGCUGGCCAAGGCUGGGGUCACUGCUGUGUCUCUGCCCCAGUCAGAUAUUGUGAAGUAAGAGAGGGGGUGGACAGGUGGACGCUUCCUUCAAAAAGUCCACUUCACUGUGCUUGGGCCCUGGGUGGGAACUGGAAUCCUGCGAGGGGACCAGAUGGCCGACUGAAAGACUGCGGGGACGCCCUCUGCCAGGGCUAGGUCUGGCAAGGGCAAAGGGGUCUAACCCUGUGGACCCCCUCCCCUAGGCUGGGUGGAGAGCCUCAGAGCCUGCCCCCAGACGGCCAGCGAUCAAAGAGAAGAGUGGAUCCAGGAAAAAUCGAGCUGCCAAGUGGUUGAUUGGCUUUGCCUCCAUCAGCCUGAUGAAUAUUCAUGAGGUGCGCUCUCUUCGUGAGCCAGAGCUCUGCGUUCAGCCUGUGCGCCUGCGUGUGCGCCUGCGUGAGUGCGUGUGUGCGGUGCAGGUCACACACGCCUCUUCCGCUGCGUGCAGGACGCCAGCCCGCGCUUGGCCCGGAUUGGCCCAGCGGCGGUCUAGGAGAUGCCAUGGCAACCCCUGGCUGGUUAUCUGGCGGGUCUCCCCUUCUUCCCUUUUCACUU
rnacentral:lncRNA from 1 species